rnacentral:rRNA from 1 species
CCUUUAGAGUUUUGAUCCUGGCUCAGGACGAACGCUGGCGGCGUGCUUAACACAUGCAAGUCGAACGGUGAAGCUCAAGCUUGCUUGGGUGGAUCAGUGGCGAACGGGUGAGUAACACGUGAGCAACCUGCCCCGGACUCUGGAAUAAGCGCUGGAAACGGCGUCUAAUACUGGAUAUGACACCAAUCCGCAUGGGUAUGGUGUGGAAAGUUUUUCGGUCUGGGAUGGGCUCGCGGCCUAUCAGCUUGUUGGUGAGGUAAUGGCUCACCAAGGCGACGACGGGUAGCCGGCCUGAGAGGGCGACCGGCCACACUGGGACUGAGACACGGCCCAGACUCCUACGGGAGGCAGCAGUGGGGAAUAUUGCACAAUGGGCGAAAGCCUGAUGCAGCGACGCCGCGUGAGGGAUGACGGCCUUCGGGUUGUAAACCUCUUUCAGCAGGGAAGAAGCGAAAGUGACGUAC